rnacentral:rRNA from 1 species
AUGGUAUGGUCCGUCCGUCUCCCACUGAAGAUCCGCAUCUUCAUGUGGCAGUGGAUCCGUGGACGGAUCCCAUCCGGUGUGGAGGUCCGCAAGCGUAAUGGCCCAGGCACUGGUAUCUGCCCCCUCUGUGCUGUCCCCGAGGACUCCAACCACAUCUUCUUCGCGUGCGCCUCCGCCCGGUUCCUCUGGAGCUGCUUCCGCGAGAUUGUCGGGGGGGUUGGACCCACACCAACUUCCCCGACUUAUUUGCUGAACUCCAAACGUCCCCCUCGUCCUCCCGCCACAUUAGGUGGCUGGAGGUUGGGGUCCUUGCCUGGACUCUUUGGACUGUUCGUAAUAAGCUUGUGA